AGCAAUGAUGAGUAAAAGAACAUUACUGACUUGGUAUUGUUGCCAUCUGGCAUCUCUGACCAAGAUCUGAUUGAGUUUAAUCUUCUCUCUGAGCUG